UACGGGGGGGGCAAGCGUUGUUCGGAAUUACUGGGCGUAAAGGGCUCGUAGGCGGCCAACUAAGUCAGACGUGAAAUCCCCAGGCUCAACCUGGGAACUGCGUCUGAUACUGGAUGGCUUGAAUCCGGGAGAGGGAUGCAGAAUUCCAGGUGUAGCGGUGAAAUGCGUAGAUAUGUGGAAGAACACCGGUGGCGAAGGCGAUUCUCUAUUUUAUUCCUGACGCUGAGGCGCGAA
rnacentral:rRNA from 1 species